rnacentral:rRNA from 1 species
AUUGAACGCUGGCGGCAGGCCUAACACAUGCAAGUCGAACGAGUGGCGGACGGGUGAGUAAUAUCUGGGAAACUGCCUGAUGGCGGGGGAUAACUACUGGAAACAGUAGCUAAUACCGCAUACAAUCAGAUGUGCCCAGAUGGGAUUAGCUAGUUGGUGGGGUAACGGCUCACCAAGGCGACGAUCCCUAGCUGGUCUGAGAGGAUGACCAGCCACACUGGGACUGAGACACGGCCCAGACUCCUACGGGAGGCAGCAGUGGGGAAUAUUGCACAAUGGGGGAAAGCCUGAUACAGCCAUCCCGCGUGUAUGAAGAAGGCCUUCGGGUUGUAAAGUACUUUCAGCGGCGAAGCGUUAACUGCAGAAUAAGCACCGGCUAACUACGUGCCAGCAGCCGCGGUAAUAC